rnacentral:rRNA from 1 species
CCUACGGCGCGCAGCAGUGGGGAAUAUUGCACAAUGGGGUAAACCCUGAUGCAGCGCCGCCGCGUGAGUGAAGAAGUAUUUCGGUAUGUAACGCUCUAUCAGCAGGGAAGAAAAUGACUGUACCUGAUUAAGAAGCCCCGGCUAACUACGUGCCAGCACCCGCGGUAAUACGUAGGGGGCAAACGUUAUCCGGAUUUACUGGGUGUAAAGGGAGCGUAGACAGCAGCACAAGUAUGGAGUGAACUGCCGGGGCUUAACCCCGGAACUGCUUUGGAAACUGUGCAGCUAGAGUGCAGGAGAGGUAAGUGGAAUGCCUAGUGUAGCGGUGAAAUGCGUAGAUAUUAGGAGGAACACCAGUGGCGAAGGCGGCUUACUGGACUGUAACUGACGUUGAGGCUCGAAAGCGUGGGGAGCAAACAGGAUUAGAUACCCGAGUAGUC